GGUGAACGCUGGCGGCGUGCCUAAUACAUGCAAGUCGAGCGAACAGACGAGGAGCUUGCUCCUCUGACGUUAGCGGCGGACGGGUGAGUAACACGUGGAUAACCUACCUAUAAGACUGGAAUAACUUCGGGAAACCGGAGCUAAUACCGGAUAAUAUAUUGAACCGCAUGGUUCAAUAGUGAAAGACGGUUUUGCUGUCACUUAUAGAUGGAUCCGCGCCGCAUUAGCUAGUUGGUAAGGUAACGGCUUACCAAGGCAACGAUGCGUAGCCGACCUGAGAGGGUGAUCGGCCACACUGGAACUGAGACACGGUCCAGACUCCUACGGGAGGCAGCAGUAGGGAAUCUUCCGCAAUGGGCGAAAGCCUGACGGAGCAACGCCGCGUGAGUGAUGAAGGUCUUCGGAUCGUAAAACUCUGUUAUUAGGGAAGAACAAAUGUGUAAGUAACUAUGCACGUCUUGACGGUACCUAAUCAGAAAGCCACGGCUAACUACGUG
rnacentral:rRNA from 1 species